CAGUCUUUGUAUGGGAAUCUUUACAUACAACAUGUGCCAAUGCAGUAUUAAUUCUGCUCCUGUGUUUGGGGGAGUACAAACGGCAGGAAGGACGCACGUAAUUUAAUUUAAAUUGAGCAUUGAUGCUCUGCAGAUGUUUUCAACUCGAGUUCCGGGGUGAGUGGGGAGGCCUGUGUGAGAUUUGUAAACUCUGUCACACACAGGACAACUGAUGCUCGAUGAGGUGGGCAGAUGAUUUUCUUAUUCUUCGAAUCGACGUGGGCUUCGCGGGUUGAAACAUUUAGUUGUUCAUGAAGACACAGAUCCUAACCCGAUUGCUGGAAUCUGGGGGGGGGGGGGGUAGUGGAAGAGGAAUUAUUGGUAACACACACUAAAUUAUAAGAACAUAAGACGUAGGAGUAGAAUUAGGCGGUUUGGCCCGUCGAGGCUGCUCCGCCAUUCAUUCAUGGCUGAUCCUUGUUAACUCUCCUCAGCCCCACUCCCUAGUCUUCUCUCCGUAACAUUUGAUGCGUGUCCAAUCAAGAUACUAUCAAACUCUGCCUUAAAUCUGACCAAGGACCUGCUUCCAUAGCUGCUUGUGGUAAUAAAUUCACCACCUUUGAUGAAAGAAAUUUCUUCGCAUCUGUUUUAAAUGGAUACCCCAUCUAUCCUGAGGCUGUGCCCUUUUGUCCUAGACUCCCCCCACCAUAAGAAACAUCCUCUGUCUAGGCCUUUCAACAUUUGAAAGGUUUCAAUGCGAUUUCCCUCAUCCGUUUAGACUCCAAUAAGUAGACACAGAGCCAUCAAAUGUUUCUCAUACUAUAUUUCAUUCCCAGAAUCAUCCCUGUGAACCUCCUCUGGAGGUUCCAGAAAGGAUCCUUUUAUUCCCACUCACUGCUUCCUACCAAUCAGCAAAUGCUCUAACCUUGACUCUGGUUCAUUAUAUAACACCCAAUACAGUUUAGCUGAUCCCCUAGUAGGCUCAAUGGCAAACUGCUCUAAAAAGCCAUCUCGUAGGUAUUCAACAAACUCAGUCUCUUGAGAUCCAUUUCCAACCUGAUUUUCCCAAUUGACCUGCAUGUUGAAAUCUCUGUUGACAAGCCUUUUCCAUUUCUCAUUCUAAUCUGUGGUCCACAAUCCAGCUACUGCUGGGAGGCCUGUAUAUAACUGCCAUCAGGAUCGUUUUACCCUUGCAGCUUCUUAAUUCAAUCCACAAGGGUUCAACAUCUUCCAAUCCUUUCUACUGAUUUGAUGCCAUUCUUUACCAGCACAGCCACAUCACCCCAUCUGCCUACCUUCCUAUCCUUCCAAUACAAUGUGUAACCCUGGACAUUCAGCUUCCAAAUAUGGCCAUCCUUCAGCCACAAUUCAGUGAUGGCCACAAUAAUAGUGCAACAAGAUCACCCAUUUUAUUGCUUAUACUCCGUGCAUUGAAAUAUAACAAGAGUACUGUACUUGCUACCCUUUUUGGUUUUGCAUUCCUAAUGUACUGGUACUCACCCUGCUGUUGCAAUUUUGUCCUAUCAUCCGUCUGCCCUUCCUGACAGUCUGACUGCUCGCUAUCUGUGCUUAUAAUAAAGAGUUGACUUUUUGGACCCAAAACCCUUCAUUUUAAGGGUCUGACUUGCUGAGUUCCUCCAGUAGUUUGAAUUUGUUCCUUCGGAUUUCCAGCAUUUGCAGAAUCUCUUGAAUUUAUGAGAGGAAUUGUUGGUUUCCAAUGGAAUCCCCAAAUCAGGACCCAAUUCAGACAGAGUGAUCAGCAGCACUGGGGCUCCACAGGGGACUGUCCUGUCUCCCUUUCUCUUCACCAUCUACACCUCGGACUUCAACUACUGCCAUCUUCAGAAGUUUUCUGAUGACUCAGCCAUAGUUGGAUGCAUCAGCAAGGGAGAUGAGGCUGAGUACAGGGCUACGGUGGAAAACUUUGUCACAUGGUGCGAGCAGAAUCAUCUGCAGCUUAAUGUGAAAAAGACUAAGGAGCUGGUGGUGGACCUGAGGAGGGCUAAGGCACUGGUGACCCCUGUUUCCAUUCAAGGGGUCAGUAUGGACAUGGUGGAGGAUUACAAAUACCUGGGACACGAAUUGACAAUAAACUGGACUGGUCAAAGAACACUGAGGCUGUCUACAAGAAGGGUCAGAGCCGUCUCUAUUUCCUGAGGAGACUGAGGUCCUUUAACAUCUGCCGGAAGAUGCUGAGGAUGUUCUAUGAGGCUGUGGUGGCCAGUGCUAUCAGGUUUGCUGUUGUGUGCUGGGGCAGCAGGCUGAGGGUAGCAGAUACCAACAGAAUCAACAAACUCAUUCGUAAGGCCAGUGAUGUUGUGGGUCAGAGAGCAACUUCCAGUUGGUGGUGUUCCCCAUGCUGAUGCUACUUAUCCUUCUCUCGCUGACUGAGGUCGUGUAUUUGGAAGGUACUGUCUCAGGAGUCUUGCUCAUUGUUCAGCCCAUCUCAGAUUUUACCACCGGACAUUGCAAAGCACAAGUUGGAAGAAAAGCUGGAGGUCACUUGCAGGCGAUCUCUCCUCCUGCUGGACACUCCAGAGUUUAGAGUGGGAACAUUUGUAUGUUGAGGCAAUCACAGUAGAACAAAGAAAUACAAUAGAAUCAAUGAAAAACUACACACAAGCAAAAACUAAAAAACAACCAAAGUGCAAAAGAAGACAAAUGUGUAAAUAUAUAAAAAUAAAUAAAUGUUACUGAGAACAUGAGUUGUAGAGUUUUUGAAAGUGAGUCCAUAGGUUGUGUGAUUAUUUCAAGGUUGCAGUGAGUGAAGUUAUCCAUACUGGUUCAGUAUGCUGAUGGUUGAGGGGUAAUAACUGUUCCUGAACCUGGUGGUGUAGGACCCAAGGCUCCUGCACCUUCUUCCUGACAGCAGCCACGAGAAGAGAGUAUGGCCUGGAUGGUGAAGUUUUGUGUUGGAGUAUGUUGAGGUGAGUGACUUCAUUAGAAAACAAGCAAUGGACUAGCUGAAGAGUUGCAAUCAUAUAUUAUGAAGAACUCCAGUUGCUGCUGGGCCAAAGCAGGGCCAAGUCAAUCAAUAUUACUGAGAUGAAAAAGAAAACACAAACUUGACCAUAACUGACUUGGGGGUGAGGUUGCAAAUCCUGGAAAUCCAGAGCAACUCACAAAAUAUUGGAGAAACUCAGCAAGUCAAUCAGCGUCUAUGGAGGGGAAUAAACAGUCUGUGGCGACCCACUUUCUGUGCAGGCGAACCGGCUCACAAAUAGCCCGCGUGCGGGGAGAGACUUUGGCAAUGCACCUCUGACGUAAUUUCCGCCUGGGGAGGGCGGGAGCUAAGGAUUAAAAGCCAGCACCACAAUGUUUGAAUAAACUAGUCUCGAAAUGAUGUAACGACUAUGUGUCAUUGUUUCUAUCUCUGUAUGUAGUACAUCACUACAAGUCAACAUUUUAGACUGACAAUGCUAAUAAGAAUGUCCAGAUGAUAAGUUUCAUCCCAAAACAACUUGACAAAGAGUCUGGAGACAUCAACUAUUUAUUCCCCUCCAUAGAUGCUGCCUGACCUGGAGAGUUUCUCCAGAAUUUUGUAUGUUGCAGCAGCACUGUGAAUUGCCUGGAUCCAUUUCAGAUGGUUAGCAGGCAAUGGAUGAAGCUGGUUGCUGAGAGAGGUAGUUGUAAUAGCCAAUAGGGAUGAAGGUUUCAAAUGGCCCAAACUUUAGUUGGAAGACAUUUCUGAAUAUCAAGCACUGACCAACAAUUUACAUAGUGGAGGAGUCCAGAGAGACAGGGAGGAUGGAUGCCAACAAUUCAUGUGGAAACUGUCACUGUUGAGGGCUAUUAUAGUUAAGGAUUAAAAAUAGGAGGGGGAGUAGAGGAGAAUCUUGGGAGACAUCAAUGGUAACAGUGCAUAUGUGGAAGAAUAACAAUAAUGAGUGAUAUCCUAUUUGCAAGUAAAUAGAUAAGAAAGGGAAGUGCCAGCCAGCUGAGCAAUGCUCAAGUGUUACAGGAGGGUGAUGUGGGCAACGAUGUUGAAGUCUACAGAGCCUGACAGAAAGGAGAUGGAGGAAAUUAUACAGGGUGCCAUACUUUUAAAGGAAGCUGUAAAGAUGGUGUGGCAGUGACAGAAGGGAUUGGAAGUAUUCAUCAAGGCGUUCAGGGUAAGACCUGAAUAGCCAUAGCCUGUUCAGAGAAGGUUUACAGGGGCAGAAGGUUAUGUUGACAGUAUUAAUAAUGGUAGGUUUGAUAGUGAAGUACCCUGUAGUUGGUGAAUUUUUUUUUAACAAAUUCAGGUGAGAAAUGAAUGGUCAGUGGGUGUACAGUAUAUUUUCUUGAAAGCUUGCAUAGGUUCUAUGAAUGCACAGUGGAGAGUCUCCUGACUGGUUGUAUCAUGACCUGGUAUGAAAACAUCAAUGCCCGGGAAUGGAAAAGGUGGAUACAGCCAAAUCCAUCAGAGGCAAAGCCCUCCCCACUGAGGUACUGCCACAAGCAUUGAUUUUCAAAGACUGCCAUCAUCCAGGCUGUGCUCACUUCUCACUACUACCAUUGGGUAGGAGAUACAGAAGCAUUA